rnacentral:rRNA from 1 species
AACGAACGCUGGCGGCAUGCCUAACACAUGCAAGUCGAACGAGAUCUUCGGGUCUAGUGGCGCACGGGUGCGUAACGCGUGGGAAUCUGCCCUUUGGUUCGGAAUAACAGUCGGAAACGACUGCUAAUACCGGACGAUGACGAAAGUCCAAAGAUUUAUCGCCAGAGGAUGAGCCCGCGUAGGAUUAGCUAGUUGGUGUGGUAAAGGCGCACCAAGGCGACGAUCCUUAGCUGGUCUGAGAGGAUGAUCAGCCACACUGGGACUGAGACACGGCCCAGACUCCUACGGGAGGCAGCAGUGGGGAAUAGUGGACAAUGGGCGAAAGCCUGAUCCAGCAAUGCCGCGUGAGUGAUGAAGGCCUUAGGGUUGUAAAGCUCUUUUACCCGGGAUGAUAAUGACAGUACCGGGAGAAUAAGCGCCGGCUAACUCCGUGCCAGCCGCCGCAGUAA